GAUACUGGCGGACGGGUGAGUAACACGUGGGUAACCUGCCUGUAAGACUGGGAUAACUCCGGGAAACCGGGGCUAAUACCGGAUGCUUGUUGAACCGCAUGGUUCAAACAUAAAAGGUGGCUUCGGCUACCACUUACAGAUGGACCCGCGGCGCAUUAGCUAGUUGGUGAGGUAAUGGCUCACCAAGGCAACGAUGCGUAGCCGACCUGAGAGGGUGAUCGGCCACACUGGGACUGAGACACGGCCCAGACUCCUACGGGAGGCAGCAGUAGGGAAUCUUCCGCAAUGGACGAAAGUCUGGCGGAGCAACGCCGCGUGAGUGAUGAAGGUUUUCGGAUCGUAAAACUCUGUUGUUAGGGAAGAACAAGUACCGUUCGAAUAGGGCGUACCUUGACGGUACCAACCAGAAAGCCACGGCUAACUACGUGCCAGCAGCCGCGGUAAUACG
rnacentral:rRNA from 1 species